rnacentral:rRNA from 1 species
AUUGAACGCUGGCGGCAUGCCUUACUCAUGCAAGUCGAACGGCAGCACGGGAGCAAUCCUGGUGGCGAGUGGCGAACGGGUGAGUAAAGGAUCGGAACGUGCCCAGUCGUGGGGGAUAACGUAGCGAAAGUUACGCUAAUAACGCAUACGAUCUAUGGAUGAAAGCGGGGGAUCGCAAGACCUCGCGCGAUUGGAGCGGCCGAUAUGAGAUUCGGUAGUUGGUGGGGUAAAGGCUCACCAAGCCGACGAUCUGUAGCUGGUCUGAGAGGACGACCAGCCACACUGGGACUGAGACACGGCCCAGACUCCUACGGGAGGAAGCAGUGGGGAAUUUUGGACAAUGGGCGAAAGCCUGAUCCAGCCAUGCCGCGUGCAGGAUGAAGGCCUUCGGGUUGUAAACUGCUUUUGUACGGAACGAAAAGGUUUGGCCUAAUAAGCUGAGCUCAUGACGGUACCGUAAGAAUAAGCACCGGCUAACUACGUGCCAGCCGCCGCCGUAA